UAGCAUAAAUCGCCUUCUGAUUUGAAGCAAAACAAUAAAUCAGUGCGUUUCAGGAUCUCUGAUCUCUAGAUGCGAAUGAGGUCUCAAAGGCCCAAAGCCUCUAUAAAUAAACGAAAAAAGUACGUUAUGAAAGGAUUUUUUCUGUGACUUCCUUGAGCGGAUGUAUUUUACACAUACAGUAGACGAAGUGUCCUUAGCAGCUUCUAGGCAGAGUGCGCUCAUCCGCGGAAAAGUUGAGUGCUCGUCGGGGUUGAAGUCUUGAGGAUAUAAUACAGAUCCAAUAAAGCUUCCCGUCAUCAUUCACCUAUUUCUAGCUAGAUGCUACUUACGCGGACUAAAAGAAAACUUUUUCGGAUAUAAUUAAGCUGUCAAAAUGUUGUAGAAAAUAAAACAAAAACUUCCACUUCUGAUUUACAUGUUUUUGCUAAGGGCUUCUUGUUGUUGUGUUAUUGAAUUUCUUUCUUUCUGUAUCGUUAUGCGCGCGCGCAUUAUUGUUCUGAGUUUGUGUGUUGCUGCUUGGAAUACGUGUGUUUCGGUUUUUUAGCUACGAUAAUAACUAAUGCAACAGUUCACAUUUCACCUUCGGCUUCUCUGCAUCGUAAUCGAACUUUCCUCUUCCCAUCUUUUCUCUACUAAAACAGAAAACUAAAAAA